CCCGAUGAACCUGAAUAUCCGUUAUGGAAAAUUCAUCAUUAAUAUUAUUAUAUUUAAAAAUAUAUUAAAAAUAGUGUGCAAUUUUUCCAUAUAAGGACAUUGUAAUCUGUUAAUGUAAUAAAUAUUUAUCAAAAAAUUUAAAACAUUAGUUUAUUCAAAUUAGUUAUUUUCGAAUUUCUAACAUAGAAUAAUUGUAUUAGAUUUGAUAAAUCAUUGACAGAUUUUACUAUAUAUAAUGCUUAAAUUCUUUUUGAAUUUUAUAAUUAUAGUAAAAAUUUAUUUUUAUUUAUAAUUAUAUGCAUUUAUAUGAUUAACAAUGCGAUAGAUUCAGGAUACCUUCGGGACCCGUCUUGAAACACGGACCAAGGAGUCUAACAUAUGUGCAAGUCAUUGGGUAUUUUUAAUAAAACCCAAUGGCAUAAUUAACUUAACUGUUUUUUAAUGGGAUUAGUUUGUAUUUUAUUAUGAAAUAUAAAUUCAAUCCCGGGGCGUUCUAUACAGUUAUGCAUAAUGAUAUUUAUAUUAUUUAUGCCUCUAACUAGAGC
rnacentral:rRNA from 1 species